rnacentral:lncRNA from 1 species
UGCAAGACACCAAGGAAGAUUAAUAACAACAGCUAAAUUGGAAAUAUUAAGCAAAAAUUCUUCUUUAUGCGAGUUCAAAUUUGAUUUAUAUACAUUAAUAUACAUCCAUUUAAAAAUUUCCAUUGGACCCUCAAAGAAUACAACACAAAAUCUUUCAAACUCAAAAACUCCUACACAUUUAAGGAAAAAUGAAUCCCAGAUAAUCCAAAGCCCUCCUGAAGCUCCAUUAGUGUCACACCUGCAAAACCAAGAGCACCUACACCCCAUACAUCCCUUAUCGAAGCUAGAGACUGUCUAGGUAACUUAGUUUAUUGCAAUAACAAAAUGUCAGGUUUAUGAAUCCCGACCAGCAAAUAAACUUCUCUUUUU